UUCGGUACAUCGGUGACAGGUGGUGGCAUGGUUGUCGUCAGCUCGUGUCGUGAGAUGUUGGGUUAAGUCCCGCAACGAGCGCAACCCCUAUUGUUAGUUGCCAUCAUUCAGUUGGGCACUCUAGCGAGACUGCCGGUAAUAAACCGGAGGAAGGUGGGGAUGACGUCAAAUCAUCAUGCCCCUUAUGACCUGGGCUACACACGUGCUACAAUGGUUGGUACAACGAGUUGCGAGUCGGUGACGGCGAGCUAAUCUCUUAAAGCCAAUCUCAGUUCGGAUUGUAGGCUGCAACUCGCCUACAUGAAGUCGGAAUCGCUAGUAAUCGCGGAUCAGCACGCCGCGGUCGAAUACGUUCCCGGGCCUU
rnacentral:rRNA from 1 species